CAAACUUGGUCAUUUAGAGGAAGUAAAAGUCGUAACAAGGUUUCCGUAGGUGAACCUGCGGAAGGAUCAUUCAUAAUAAGUGUUUUAUGGCACUUUUUAAAUCCAUAUCCACCUUGUGUGCAAUGUCAGUUGAUCUUCUUUAUGGAGAUCGACCAAACAUCAACCUAUUUUUUUAACUCUUUGUCUGAAAAAUAUUAUGAAUAAAUAAUUCAAAAUACAACUUUCAACAACGGAUCUCUUGGCUCUCGCAUCGAUGAAGAACGCAGCGAAAUGCGAUACGUAAUGUGAAUUGCAGAAUUCAGUGAAUCAUCGAAUCUUUGAACGCAUAUUGCGCUCUUUGGUAUUCCGAAGAGCAUGCUUGUUUGAGUAUCAGUAAACACCUCAAAGCUUUUGAUUUUUUUUAAAAGUUUUGGACUUGAGCAAUCCCAACACCAGUCUUUUACAGAUCGGCGGCGGGUUGCUUGAAAUGCAGGUGCAGCUGGACAUUCUCCUGAGCUAAAAGCAUAUUUAUUUAGUCCCGUCAAACGGAUUAUUACUUUUGCUGCAGCUAAUAUAAAGGGAGUUUGACCGUAUUGGCUGACUGAUGCAGGAUUUCACAAGGGUCGGCAACGAUUCUUGUAAAACUCGAUCUCAAAUCAAGUAAGACUACCCGCUGAACUUAAGCAUAUCAAUAAGCGGAG
rnacentral:rRNA from 1 species